rnacentral:rRNA from 1 species
CCUACGGGUGGCAGCAGUGGGGAAUAUUGCACAAUGGGGGAAACCCUGAUGCAGCGACGCCGCGUGAGUGAAGAAGUAUUUCGGUAUGUAAAGCUCUGUCAGCAGGGAAGAAAAUGACGGUAACUGACCAAUACGCCCCGGGUAACUACGUUCCAGCAGACGCGGGACUACGUAGGGGGCAAGAGGUGUCCGGAUUUGAUGGGGGUAAAGGGAGCGUAGACGGCAGGGCAAGUCUGGAGUGAAAGGCGGGGGCUCAACCCCCGGACUGCUCUGGAAACUGUCAGGCUGGAGUGCAGGAGAGGUAAGUGGAAUUCCUAGUGUAGCGGUGAAAUGCGUAGAUAUAAGGAGGAACACCAGUGGCGAAGGCGGCUUACUGGACUGUAACUGACGUUGAGGCUCGAAAGCGUGGGGAGCAAACAGGAUUAGAUACCCCAGUAGUC